CAGCUUCUGAGUCUGCACUGCAAUGAGGUUGUCAGAAAGAAAAGGAGUACAGAAAACAUUCUGCUAUUUCUCAGACACUUUUAUUUUUUAUGGCAAUAGAAUGUAGUUUAAAAAUGCUUUCUUUGUGAUGGAUAGCCAUACCUUGACAUCACUCUGUUAUGUUUUUGCAGAUGCAUAGAAUAUCAGAUGUUUGUGAGCCUCUGGGUAGUUCAAAUGAGAGCAUAGUGGAUGAAACUGAUGAGGAUUCCAUGAAAAACUAUUCUGGUGGGCAUUCUGAGCACAACGUUGUUCCAAAGUUGAGAAGGACAAAGAGCUUAUUGGUACGGUUCUGACAGUCUGAAUACAAGUAAUUAUUAUAGUCUAUUUUCAACAAAAUCUUUUUCUUGUAACUGAUUUUUUAAAUGGAUAGUCAUACUUUUUUCUUCCUUUUUCUGAUGGAUAGAAUACCAGAUUUUUCUGAUGCUCUGUUUGAUUCAAAUAAGGACAGCACAGAAGGCCCUUCCUUUAAGUCUGAAAGGGCUUCACGAAGGCUGCAACCCGUAAACAUCUCGUUUUUACUCACUUGUGUUGUCACUUAAAGGGUCAGGGUAAGACUUUAAUACAGAUACGACUCUGGACAUAUAUGUCUGUAAAGUUCAACUUGACUGGUUUGUGGAGGCACAAAGCAUGUGGCAGUUAUCCUUUACAUUACAAGUGACACAUCAAGAUAGGUUUUAAUGUUUCUGUGCCAGCGCAGUAGGCAGUUAACCGUGUAGUAAGAUGGUCAUAUUGAACAGUCAUUUGGAGGUUGAAGUAUUAACUUCAAGACAGCAUCAUUUCAAAUCAUUUCCCCUCAUUCAAAGCCAGACUUUGCUUUACUGACAAUUACUUCAUGUUUUAAGUCAAAAAAUUAUAUAUAUAAAAAUAAUGUUUUUCUGUACCCAGAAGCCAGUGUGUACAAGGAGAGGAUUCAGAAGAUGAGGGCAGUGUGGCACCCCUAUUGGAAUGUACCUCAUCAUCUGCCCAAAACCAAGUGGUGUCAGCAAAAAUGAGAGAAGCCAGUGUGGCACAAGGCGAGGACUCAGAAGAUGAGGACAGUGCGGCAUCCCUGCAAGAAUGUACCUCAUCAUCUGCCCAAAACCAGAUGGUGUGAACAACAAAGAGAGGUAAACAAUCUGCUGUCAAAAGACGUUGGACGCCAGAGGAAUCUGCUGCAGUUUACAGACAUUUAAGGAAAUUCAUAGUGAGAAGCCAAGUUCCCGAAAAAGUGGACUGUGAGCACUGUAUUACUGCAGAACCUCAAGCACUAGGAAACAGAGACUGGAAAGCAGUAAAAUACUUCAAGAAUCUUCUGCCAUCAGAAGAGAACUACAGUGAAUUGCUACUAGAUGUGAGCAGUGUGUGGAUUCUGCUUUAUUCAAACUGUACCUGCCAGGUAACACUAUCUACACAGCUGCAUUUACAAACACAAACAGAUGAUGGAGUAAACAGAGCAGCCAUCUUAGUACCUUAAAAUGGCCAAUUUCCUGUUAAGAGAAUGUUCUGUUUGUUGUGGAAUGUUACAUAAGACUGCCAAGUUUUGUUCAUUCAUUAGGGUUAUGUCGUGUUAUGUCUGUGUUUCGUUGUCCCUCUCUGUCUCAUUCUCUUUCUAUGUCUGGUUCUGUCUCUAUGUCUCAUCUCUCUGUCUCGUCUCUCUCUCUGUCUCUCUGUCUCCUUAUGUCUCUCUGUCACGUCUCUCUGUUUCAUUGUCUCUGUCUCAUCUCUGUCUCAUUAUCUCUCUGUCUCGUCUCUGUCUCCUUGUCUCUAUGUCUCAUUCUCUCUCUGUAUCUCGUCCUCUCUAUGUCUAGUUCUCUCUUUGUGUCUAAUGUCUGUCUCUCGUUCUCUGCCUGUGUCUCAUUCUCUCUCUGUAUCUCGUCCUCUCUCUAUGUCUAGUUCUCUCUUUGUGUCUAAUGUCUGUCUCUCGUUCUCUGCCUGUGUCUCAUUGUCUCUCUGUGUCUCCUCACUCUCUGUCUUGUUCUC